UACGAAGGGGACUAGCGUUGUUCGGAAUCACUGGGCGUAAAGCGCACGUAGGCGGAUUCGUAAGUUAGGGGUGAAAUCCCGGGGCUCAACCUCGGAACUGCCUUUGAUACUGCGGGUCUCGAGUCCGAUAGAGGUGGGUGGAAUUCCUAGUGUAGAGGUGAAAUUCGUAGAUAUUAGGAAGAACACCGGUGGCGAAGGCGGCGACCUGGUCCAUUACUGACGCUGAGGCGCGAAAGCGUGGGGAGCAAACAGGAUAGAA
rnacentral:rRNA from 1 species